GACUAGCCUAGGUGUCCCUUUCCCAAGGGAGGCUUCUGGGACCUCCAAGAUUGUGUUCCAUCAUGUACUCUCAAAGCCCUUGGUAGCACUUAUUACAAUUAUUAGUGUUUUGAAUUGUAUAAUUGAUUCUUUUUCUCUGCUAGAAUGUAAGCUUCAUGAGAGUAAGGCCUGUUAGUUUAUUUUUUUAUUCUGUCAACCACUCAGCAUAAUGCUUGGCACAAAUUAGGUGUUCAAUAAAAAUAUGUUGAAUGAAUGAAUGAAUGGGGUCACCAGGUUGCUACUGCAAUCCCUCUGGCCUUCUACUAGACAAACUCCUGUCUCAAAUUGUUGAAUGCUGUUUCUUGUUCUUACCCAUUACAGGGGAGAACCACAGGUGGGCAAAGUAGCUCUCCAUACAGCUCCUGUGACUUUUGAAGCUUAACUCUUGUGAGAUGAUCAUGGUCUCAUCUCCCCCUGUUUAAUCUCCCCCAGAGUCUCUGCUAAGGCAGAGUCCACACCCUACCAUGCCCACUGCCUUCUUUCUCCUGAUCCUUAGUCUUUUGGUCUUUGUGUAAAAAAUGUGGCUUUCUCCAGGCAAAGCCCAGAAUGCCACCUGGUCCAAGGAGGAUUGUUGGCUAUGAUCUCCUUAGUUUCACUUUCAGAGCUGGCUGCUCAGAUUGGUCUACCCUGCUGUGGAUGCAAUUUCAGGAUGAGAUUGAAGAGCAGGUCAUCUGGACUGCUGGGAUGAUUUUAAAGGAAACUUUAAUAUCUCCUGGACAAGCCAGCAGCUGGUUUCUGCAAGUCCUCCAGGACUUUGCACCUUGAGACUUGGGUUCAGGGGCAGCUGAGAAGAUAGACUGUGAACUUUCCUCUGCCUAGAGAACUGGACUACAUUCCUUUGCCUAGAGAACUGGACUACAGCUUAAUGGCUGGACCCUAAGCAUCUCUAGGACACUACAGUUGUCCAUUGUAGAUUCCUUUACCCCAAGCCACUUCUGGACCUGCCUGUCCUUGGGUGCCUGGUGCUGAGUCAGCAACACCUCCCUGCUGUCCUGGCAUUGUGUGGCCAAACUAAGCCGAGUCUGAUUAUAAUGGGUUGGUUCAUCUAGAAGCUCACAUCCCAUACUCUUUUUCCAAUACGACACUUAGCCAACUGGCACCCAAUAGUGGGAAGAGAUACUCUGGGAACUGAGGCUGCUGAGGACUCAUGACCCUGCAGAAGCCAACAGCAAAAGCUGUGUGGAAGGUGAAGCCAUCCCGCUGCCAGGCCUCUCUCUCUGCUCCAUGUCGGUUCCUGUCUGGCAGCGCCAUGGCCCUGGCUGGCAGUCAGAGACCCGCUGCUGGUGAUUGCUGGUGGCUUGGCUCUCUUCCAUCUAGCCAGGGCAUUUGUACCUUUUUUCUAUGUUCUGCUUACAAGCUUGGGAAGCGAGCCACUGGUUCUCCUUGGAAAUUGCCUCCAUCUGUGUCAUUUCCCAUCCUAGUCCCAAGGGAGACAUGUUUCUUUCUCUCUUCCGCAUUGACACCUUCUCUUGCCUUUGGCUCAAAUACAGACACCUCAGGUAGUACCAGUGCUGUGGGGAGGCCAAGGGGCGAGGGGCACGUACAGGAAGUGGUGGUGGCAAAAUAGAGUUAAGUUCGGUUACCAGUGCUGGAUGAAGCUUUGUAUCUCUAGGGUUGUCAGUCAGCCAAGAAGGAAGGCAGAUACAGGCCUAAUUCUUGGUUCCUGAACUGAUUGGCUGUGGCUUUUAUCAGGGACUCACUGGCACUUCUCUGAGCAUCAGUGUUAACUUCUGUCAUGGGCUGAAUUGUGCAGCCUCCUCCUUCUCCUCCAAGUUUAUAGGUUGACUUCCUAAUCCCCAGUACCACAGGAUGUGACUCUAUUUGGAGAUAAGGUCUUUAAGGAGGUUAUUUAGGUAAAAUGAGGUCAUAUGAGUAGGCCCUAAUCCAAUAUGACUGGUGUCCUUAUGAGAAGAGAUUAGGACACAGAUAGGUAUAGAGGGAAGUCCAUGUGAAGACGAAGAGAGAAGGCGGCCAUCUGGAAGCCAAGGAGAGGAGCUCCCAGAAGAAACAACCCCGCUGACACCUUGAACUUGGACUUGCAGUCUCCACAAUGGAGCUGCAGAAUCUCAAUGUCAUCCAGCAUGGUUGGUCCCGCCCUCCAGAAGCUCACAUUCUGUGCGGAAGACAGACGCGAGGAUCACUUCACUGCAGCAUAGGAGGUGCUGUGAUAGUGCUCAGCAGGGGGCAUGAACUAAGGAGGACACCGUGAGCCCACCUGAAGACGAAGGUCACACAGAAUGCUUUGUGGCGAUGACGGCCAAGCCUAAAGUCUAUCAGUUCUUUGAGGAAAGAGGCUGGGUCUUGCUCACCUUCCUUCACCCAUGACAUCUAGCACAGCACUUUGCAUAUAACAAGGUCUCACUGUGUUGCCCAGGCUGGAGUGCAGUGGUGUGAUCUUGGCUCCCUGCAGCCUCAACCUCCUAGGCUCGAGUGAUCCUCCUGCCUCAGCAUCCGGAGUACCUGGGACUAUAGAGCAGUCUUCUUCCCUCUCCCCAGCCUCCCCAAAGACCUGCAAAUUUCAUUUUCUGUUAAGUGCUCAUCUCCCCUGGCCCCCCUACAGCUGGGGAAGGUGUUGGUAUCUCCAGCGACUUCAGGCUUCAAGUUUCCUUCUAGGAGGGAAGCUGCUUUCGCUGUUGCUUUCAAGUGACCCGGAUCUCAUUAAACAUACUGAUGUGGGGUGUGUUUCUGAGAAGGUGCCUGAGAAAUGAACUUGGCUUGCUUGUUGCCUUUGAGGGUCUGUGGGAGAGAAUCACAAGCCUGUCCAGAUCUUAUCUUCUCAGGAAGGGGCAGGAAAACAACACAGCAAAACAGCUGCCUGGACGAGAACACCAGCUAGUGUCUUCACACCACACACCCACAUUUGGUGGUUUCUGUUUCCCAUGAAGAUGAAAGAGGAGAGGAGAGGCGUGUCAGGGAUUCCCUGAGCUCUGAUAGGAGGGUUCAACUGGGCGAGGAAGGGACCAUCAGGCCAGCCCAAGUAGGUGGACCCACUCAGCUCUCAGGACUCAUCUCCUCCACCUGGACUGCUCUCCCUGGUGGGGCAUUGAGGGACUGAGGGCUCUGGUUUUGUUCUCUAGAAGAGGCGAUCCAUCAAUAAAAAUCUAUUAAACAUGCA